rfam:Oryza glaberrima chromosome 7 Oglab07_unplaced012_4, whole genome shotgun sequence.
UUUAAGUGUAACUAUAAGUUUACACGUGUAAUUUUGAUCGUCCGUUUUAUUUAAAAUAUUUUUACAAUUAGUAUUUUUGUUGUUAUGAGAUGAUAAAACAUGAAUAGUACUUUACUCGUGACUUAUAUUUUUAAUUUUUUUCAAAUAAGACGACGAUCGAAGUUGGGCGCGGAAAACCAUGGCUGCACUUAAA